rnacentral:rRNA from 1 species
AUGCAGGGCAUGGCGUUGGCUAUACAGAAUACCUCACUUCCGGUGGUCGUUCAGUCAGAUUCCGCUAAAGCACUCUCAAUCUUGUCUAACAAUGGCCUGGUGAAGUCAGCUUAUGGGCAGUUGGUGCUUGAGAUUAAGGAGUUGAUGAGUAGUAGGGAGUUUUUACCACAGAAAAUUCACCGUAGUCAAAAUUGUGUCGCAGAUCGUUUGGCCACUUAUAGCCGAUCAGAGAGAACCACAGCUGUGUGGUUACAGUUGGCGCCACCUUGUAUUGAGGAGUUGUGGCCUCUUGAUUGUAACACUAUUACUUUGCAAUAA